AAUUUUUAUUUUUAUUAUUUUUAAGAGCUUUAUUAGCUGAUAUUGAACUUCAUUACAAAGAUCCAAGUAAACCUUAUCCUAAGGAAGAUAAUCCUCUGUUGUAUGAAUUAUCUUCAUACUUGGAGUGGGCUGGAAUUUGUAACCCUUUAGCAAAAAUCUACAUAACAACCAGACCUUUACCUCAUUUGUCACUGUUUAUGUUCCUGUUUGUUACCUCCCAGUUUUCAAAGUUAACAUAUGAAAAAAGCAUUGAUGGCUUAAUAAGCCGAAAAAUUACUGAUGGAAUUGAUGGAUUGCCUUUUGUCAUUGGUACGUUAACAUUCCUGCACCAGUUUCAUCAAGAUCAUAAAAAUAAUUUCCUAGCAUACAUGGGACAGUAUAUUCGGUCAGUGAUGGAUACUAUUCG